GCCUGAGCCAGAGGAAGGGAGGAAAACAAUAGCAAAAACCAGGACCCUUCGGACUUGCCGCUGAAUGGGGAUUUUCGUCGGAUGUUGAGUUUACCUGGAAUGCCCCGGUGUUAUUUUGGGAAGGCAGACAUCCCACGGAAACAAUGAAGUGGAAAAGAAAACAGCUAAAGCAAAAUCUAGAGCCCAGUUUUUGCCAAACCAGCCCCACGUGGGCUGGGCAGGCUCUGGAAGCCCAAGUCAGGCCGAUGAAGAGCGGCUGAGGCCGUGGGGAUCUGGUUUACCAGGAGGGCACAUGGAGGAUGCAAGAAAAGGAAGAGCCGUAUUCAAGUCCCCACUUCAGUGAUGAGGCAGAAAGACCCUGCGCCUGACCACGUGGGAACAGCCUGCAGUGAGCGGUGACGCCGCCUGGCUUGAGCUAAGUGCUGGGCUCCACCAUUCAUUGGCUGAGUGACCUUAGAUGAGAAGAGAAUGAGCCAUGUGUUUCCUGAAACAUCCAGUGGCCUCACCGGAGAAUCUGCAAGAGCCGGUAAACCCAGAAGCUUGGCCGUCCAUUCCUGGAAGCAGACAUUGUGUCUUCGUCCACCAAGCCCCUGGCUCUCAACACUCACUGUGGUGGCAAGAACAUGGCACCUUGACCCUACACAGUUCUUCCAUUUUUCAGAAGCAGGUGAGCACAGAUUGCUGGGAUUACAGACGUGUGCCACCAUGCUCAGCCCCACACUCGUCUUUAAGAAAAUUAAAAUAAAAUUGUUUUAAACACAGUGUCUGGCACAGAAUAGAUGCUCAAUAAACACCAGCUGCUACAAUUAGAGGGGAAAUCAUCAUAAUUGUUGGAUUAAAACAUAAUAAAAGACCCCAGUUGCCUUGUUCAAGGCAGUAUUUUCAGAAGCAAAGUUUUAAAAGUUUAAAAAGAGGUCAGUAUUUUAAGUCAUGUCAGCUCCACAGCCACGGAAGUGCUGGAAAGGCACCAAGCCUCCUCUCGGUUUGCAGUGAAACGCUCCUCUUCCGUCUGAGGGCUAUCGUUCCAGCAGAGAUCAACACAAUGGACUCUGGGAUGGACAUUGUUCUCCAACAGGCCUGGCCCUGGCCCAGCUGGGGUGAGCAUUUCCUUUGCAGCAUUCCAAGAGGCGACAGUCCCAAAAGAUAAUUAAAAAUCAGCUAGCGGUGGUGACCAAGAGAAAGGCACUGAGCCCUCCGAGUGUGGAGAUAGGGCAUCCCGGGUUAUUAAUUAAGUGUGCUCACAUUUGCAUGGUGUAGAGGACAAUUAUCAAGCUGGAGCUGUCAGCUUUAAAUGCUGUUUGCAUUUCUGGAUGACUUUUUGGCGAAGAGGGUCAGGGAGGCUCUCUAAAGUCAUUUUUGGGAGUCUGGAGGAAUAGUUAGCAAUUCGCACUUCACCUCGUUUUACCCUGCAACUCCAUGGAAAUUCCAGAAAGUCUUGGUUUUAAUGGUCUCUUGCAUAGGCCCAUGACAUGGGUCAUCUCUCUCCUACCUCCUUCCAUGCUGAACAAAUGGAAAGGCAUGUAACAUAGUGUGGCAAGGACUUAGGAGUCCAGAAGCUCCCAGAUGUGUGCACCUGUGGAAUCCGCCACCACACCCUCCACACACCAGCCUCUGCAACCAGACAGAGAGAGGAGAGGUAAGGGGUGAGGAUGUGAUUGAUUUCCAUCCUCGGCCCUCCAAGGAGGAGGCUGCCAAAGAAAACAAAGGCCACUGCAGGGGGGCAGCUCGUGGUGACAACCUGCACUGGGGCCGGAGGGCAGCCAGCAUGGCACCUGGAUCUGAUCAAGAUGAAGUUUUCAUCCCCAUCUGCCUGUUAAUGUCUUCUUUACCAGUUGCCACCCCCUAAUAAGGGGUAUGCCGUAGACUGGAAGUCACUAGGGACCUGCCCAGCAUCCUGUUCUAGGCAUUGACUAAUCCACUCUCCUACAUCCUGCCUCCCAUCCACAUGGUCCAAUCAGAGGCUGCCAUGCUUGCACAAUGUGACACUGUCUCUAUGGACACAUUAAUUGGUCCUGAUGUAGAACUUGACCCAAGAUCAGGGUCAAGUUGAGAGAAGACUUAUUUUCUUUCCAGGUGUUUCAAUAACAUGUAAAACUUGGAAUUCGAUAGCAGCCAUCUUCUGCCAUGAGAAUUGGGAAGAGAGAAAGCCUAUAGUGAUAAUAAAGUCAAAUUAUCCUAAACGCUAA
rnacentral:lncRNA from 1 species